rnacentral:rRNA from 1 species
AUUGAACGCUGGCGGCAUGCCUUACACAUGCAAGUCGAACGGCAGCACGGGAGCAAUCCUGGUGGCGAGUGGCGAACGGGUGAGUAAUAUAUCGGAACGUGCCCAGUAGUGGGGGAUAACUGCUCGAAAGAGCAGCUAAUACCGCAUACGACCUGAGGGUGAAAGGGGGGGAUCGCAAGACCUCUCGCUAUUGGAGCGGCCGAUAUCAGAUUAGCUAGUUGGUGGGGUAAAGGCCUACCAAGGCAACGAUCUGUAGUUGGUCUGAGAGGACGACCAGCCACACUGGGGAUGAGACACGGCCCAGGCUCCUACGGGAGGUAGCAGUGGGGAAUUUUGGGCAAUGGGCGCAAGCCUGAUCCAGCAAUGCCGCGGGCAGGAAGAAGGCCUUCGGGUUGUAAACUGCUUUUGUCAGGGAAGAAAUCCUCUAGGUUAAUACCCUUGGGGGGAUGACGGUACCUGAAGAAUAAGCACCGGCUAACUACGUGCCAGCCGCCGCCGUAAAAC